rnacentral:rRNA from 1 species
GACGAACGCUGGCGGCGUGCUUAACACAUGCAAGUCGAACGGAAAGGCCCUGCUUUUGUGGUGUGCUCGAGUGGCGAACGGGUGAGUAACACGUGAGUAACCUUCCCUUGACUUUGGGUUAACUUCAGGAAACUGGGGCUAAUACCCGAUCGGAGCUCCUGCUGCAUGGUGGGGGUUGGAAAGUUGCGGCGGUUGGGGAUGGACUCGCGGCUUAUCAGCUUGUUGGUGGGGUAGUGGCUUACCAAGGCUUUGACGGGUAGCCGGCCUGAGAGGGUGGCCGGCGACAUUGGGACUGAGAUACGGCGCAGACGCCUACGGGAGGCAGUAGUGGGGAAUAUUGCACAACGGGCGGAAGCCUGAGGCAGAAACGCCGCGGGCGGGAAGAAGGCCUUCGGGGAGUAAACCGCUUUCGCCUGUGACGAAGCGUGAGUGACGGUAAUGGGUAAAGAAGCACCGGCUAACUACGUG